GGGCCCGUGCGUAGGGAUACGGUUUGGUACUGCGGCUCGGGGUGAAUGGGAUUGAAGAAGAGUUCUUGUUUUUUUUUUUUUUUUUUUUUUAAGUGUAUCACAGUUUUUAUCUUUUAAAAAAUAUAUAUUAAUGUAAAGAGCUGAAAGGAGGAACAGAAAAAAAACAAAGCCGGAAAUGAAUUGAAAAUUCCAUGAGGAGUUUCCGUUAGAGUUCCUAACUGAGAUUCCAAUGUACAUGGGAAAAGUGCAGGGGCAGUCAUCAUUGUAGAACUGUGCGGGGCUUGGAGAGCAUUUGAAGACUGGGUGCAACACAGAAAAGAUGGAACUGCAGACUUUACAGGAAAAAUUGAAAGUUGAAAUUCAGGGACACCAGAAACUAGUUGCACAAAUGAAACAAGACCCACAGGUAAUGUCUUCAUUG